rnacentral:rRNA from 1 species
UUGAAGAUAGAGCCCGUACCGCAAACCGACACAGAUAGAUAGGAAGAAGAUUCUAAGGCCAACGGGAGAAGGGUUGUUAAGGAACUCGGCAAGUUGACCCCGUAACUUAGGGAGAAGGGGUGCUCUUUAAGGAGAGCCGCAGAGAAUAGGCCCAAGCGACUGUUUAGCAAAAACACAGCUCUAUGCUAAAUCGAAAGAUGACGUAUAUGGGGUGACACCUGCCCGGUGCCGGAAGGUUAAGAGGAGGAGUGAGAGCUCUGAAUUGAAGCCCCGGUAAACGGCGGCCGUAACGAUAACGGUCCUAAGGUAGCGAAAUUCCUUGUCAGGUAAGUUCUGACCCGCACGAAUGGUGUAACGAUUUGGGCACUGUCUCAACAACCUGCCCGGCGAAAUUGUAGUACCGGUGAAGAUGCCGGUUACCCGCGACUAGACGGAAAGACCCCAUGGAGCUUUACUGCAGCUUAAUAUUGAAUUUCGGUAUUUCAUGUACAGGAUAGGUGGGAGACAGGGAACCAUAGGCGUCAGCUUAUGGGGAGUCGACCUUGGGAUACCACUCUUGAGGUGCUGGAAUUCUAACCUGUGGCUCUGAAUCGAGUCAGGGGACAUUGUUAGGCGGGCAGUUUGACUGGGGCGGUCGCCUCCAAAAAGGUAACGGAGGCGCUCAAAGGUUCGCUCAGCAUGGAUGGAAACCAUGCUUUUGAGUGUAAACGCAAAAGCGAGCCUAACUGCGAGACUGACGGGUCGAGCAGUAACGAAAGUUGGAGUUAGUGAUCCGGCGGUAUGUGAGUGGAAAUGCCGUCGCUCAACGGAUAAAAGCUACCCUGGGGGUAACAGGCUGAUCUCCCCCAAGAGUCCACAUCGACGGGGAGGUUUGGCACCUCGAUGUCGGCUCAUCGCAUCCUGGGGCUGAAUUCGGUCCCAAGGGUUUGGCUGUUCGCCAAUUAAAGCGGUACGCGAGCUGGGUUCAGAACGUCGUGAGACAGUUCGGUCCCUAUCUGUCGUGGGCGUAGGAUAUUUGAAAGGAGCUGUCCCUAGUACGAGAGGACCGGGAUGGACGCACCGCUGGUGCACCAGUUGUCAUGCCAAUGGCACAGCUGGGCAGCUAUGUGCGGAACGGAUAAACGCUGAAGGCAUCUAAGCGUGAAGCCGACCUUAAGAUAAGAUAUCCCUUCGUAAGAGUAAGACCUCUCAUAGACUAUGAGUUUGAUAGGCCUAAGGUGUAAGCACAGUGAUGUGUUCAGCCUGCAGGUACUAAUCGGUCGAGGGCUUUUCCU